rnacentral:rRNA from 2 species
AAAUUGAAGAGUUUGAUCAUGGCUCAGAUUGAACGCUGGCGGCAGGCCUAACACAUGCAAGUCGAACGGUAACAGGAAGCAGCUUGCUGCUUCGCUGACGAGUGGCGGACGGGUGAGUAAUGUCUGGGAAACUGCCUGAUGGAGGGGGAUAACUACUGGAAACGGUGGCUAAUACCGCAUAACGUCGCAAGACCAAAGAGGGGGACCUUCGGGCCUCUUGCCAUCAGAUGUGCCCAGAUGGGAUUAGCUUGUUGGUGAGGUAACGGCUCACCAAGGCGACGAUCCCUAGCUGGUCUGAGAGGAUGACCAGCCACACUGGAACUGAGACACGGUCCAGACUCCUACGGGAGGCAGCAGUGGGGAAUAUUGCACAAUGGGCGCAAGCCUGAUGCAGCCAUGCCGCGUGUAUGAAGAAGGCCUUCGGGUUGUAAAGUACUUUCAGCGGGGAGGAAGGUGUUGCGGUUAAUAACCGCAGCAAUUGACGUUACCCGCAGAAGAAGCACCGGCUAACUCCGUGCCAGCAGCCGCGGUAAUACGGAGGGUGCAAGCGUU